GACGAACGCUGGCGGCGUGCCUAAUACAUGCAAGUAGAACGAGUUGCGAACGGGUGAGUAACGCGUUGUAACCUGCCUGCUAGCGGGGGCUGACUAUUGGAAACGGUAGCUAAUACUCCAUACCAACAGAUGUGCCCCGAUGGGCUUAGCUACUAGGUGGGGUAAAGGCUCACCUAGGCGACGAUCCCUAGCUGGUUUGAGAGGAUGACCAGCCAAAAUGGAAUUGAGACACGGGCCAGAAUCCUACGGGAGGAAGCAGUGGGGAAUUUUGGACAAUGGGCGAAAGCCUGAUCCAGCCAUGCCGCGUGUAUGAAGAAGGCCUUCGGGUUGUAAAGGACUUUUGGCAGGGAAGCGGUACCUGAAGAAUAAGCACCGGCUAACUACGUGCCAGCCGCCGCGGUAAUUC
rnacentral:rRNA from 1 species